rnacentral:rRNA from 1 species
GACGAACGCUGGCGGCGUGCUUAACACAUGCAAGUCGAACGGAAAGGCCCUGCUCUUGUGGGGUGCUCGAGUGGCGAACGGGUGAGUAACACGUGAGUAACCUGCCCCUGUAUUUGGGAUAACUUCUGGAAAAUGGGGCUCAUACCGGAUAGGAGCUCCUGAUGCACGGUGGGGGUUGGAAAGUUUCGGCGGUUGGGGAUGGACUCGCGGCUUAUCAGCUUGUUGGUGGGGUAGUGGCUUACCAAGGCUGUGACGGGUAGCCGGCCUGAGAGGGGUGCCGGCCACAUGACGACUGAGAGACGGCCCAGACGCCUACGGGAGGCAGCAGUGGAGAAUAUGGCGCAAUGGGCGGAAGCCUGAUGCAGCGGCGCCGGGUGCGGAAUGACGGCUUUCGGGUGGUAAACCGCUGUCGCCUGUGACGAAGCGGGAGUGACGGUAAUGAGUAAAGAAGCACCGGCUAACUACGUG